rnacentral:lncRNA from 1 species
GUUUCAAGUUCAUCAUCUCUGUAAUCGAUCGGCCAUCUCCUCCAUUUUUUUUGUGUUUUUAUCAAAUAAAAGAAGACAGAAGAUAGAAGAUUAAAGGGCGACGACGAAGAACACUCUUUACCGUCAUCAUCGUCUUCGUCGGAACGGCGAGCAACCAAGGGUUGCGAAACCAAAGAAAAAAACGGAAAAGACGAGCGGGUUGAAAAAGAACUAAACGAGGUUGCAUCUACAAAUGCGCUGAAGAUCUAUACAUAAUGCUGUAUACAGGGGAAAAUGAUGUUUGAAACUGAAGUUGGAACCGGGUUGCUGCAUUUGUAUACGAAAGAUCUACAACCUAGUAUGCUUAUUGGUCUUGCGAUUGUCAAUUUUUUUGCUUCUAUGCUAAAUUAUGAGGAGGUUAAGAGAACGUGAUGAACACAACCCUGCCUUUUCUGCCAUACAGAUUGCUUUCUAAGUACUAGGCUAUGACGAAGUAAAGCGAAGUGGACGCUACUACGGAAAAAAUAUGUUAUGCAGCUAGGGACAUCAAUGAUAGAAUAAUGGCAGUAGCAGAAGAAUAUGAUAAGGCUACGAAGUCUUUUGUUACCUAGAUUUAUUUUUCUAUUUUGGUACAUGAAACUUGUUUAGA